rnacentral:misc_RNA from 1 species
AACAAGGCGUACCUGCGGACCUGCGGAGGGAUCAUUACUGAGUGAGGGCCUUCGGGCUCGACCUCCAACCCUUUGUGAACACAACUUGUUGCUUCGGGGGCGACCCUGCCGUUUCGACGGCGAGCGCCCCCGGAGGCCUUCAAACACUGCAUCUUUGCGUCGGAGUUUAAGUAAAUUAAACAAAACUUUCAACAAUGGAUCU